rnacentral:rRNA from 1 species
UACGAAGGGUGCAAGCGUUAAUCGGAAUUACUGGGCGUAAAGCGCGCGUAGGUGGUUCAGUAAGUUGGAAGUGAAAUCCCCGGGCUCAACCUGGGAACUGCUUUCAAAACUGCUGAGCUAGAGUACGGUAGAGGGUGGUGGAAUUUCCUGUGUAGCGGUGAAAUGCGUAGAUAUAGGAAGGAACACCAGUGGCGAAGGCGACCACCUGGACUGAUACUGAUACUGAGGUGCGAAAGCGUGGGGAGCAAACAGG